UACAGAGGGGGCAAGCGUUAUUCGGAAUUAUUGGGCGUAAAGGGCGCGUAGGCGGCUUGGCAAGUGGAAGGUGAAAUCCCUCGGCUCAACUGAGGAACUGCCUUCCAGACUGCUUUGCUUGAGUCCGGGAGAGGUGAGUGGAAUUCCCAGUGUAGCGGUGAAAUGCGUAGAUAUUGGGAGGAACACCAGUGGCGAAGGCGGCUCACUGGACCGGAACUGGCGCUGAGGCGCGAAAGCGUGGGGAGCAAACAGG
rnacentral:rRNA from 1 species